UGCGUAGGCGGGCUAAUAAGUCAGUGGUGAAAUCUCUCGGCUCAACCGGGAAACUGCCAUUGAUACUGCUAGUCUUGAGUUCGGUUGAGGUAGGCGGAAUGUGUAAUGUAGCGGUGAAAUGCUUAGAUAUUACACAGAACACCAAUUGCGUAGGCAGCUUACUAGACCGACACUGACGCUGAGGCACGAAAGCGUGGGGAGCGAACAGGAUUAGAUACCCUGGUAGUCC
rnacentral:rRNA from 1 species